GACGAACGCUGGCGGCGUGCCUAAUACAUGCAAGUCGAACGCUUACGGUCGGUACUUGUACCAACUGUAUGAGCAGCAAACGGGUGAGUAACGCGUGGGGCAUCUGCCUGUGAGCGGGGGACAACAUUUUGAAACGAAUGCUAAUACCACAUAAAAACUUUAAACACAAGCUUUACGUUUAAAAUAUGCAAUUCCAUCACUCAAAUGUGAUCCCCCGUUUUAUUAGUUAGUUGGUGAGGUAAAGGCCCAACAAAGCGAUGAUACAGAGCCGGCCUGAGAGGGUGAUCGGCCAAAAUGGGAAUGAGACAAGGCCCAAACUCCCUCGGGAGGCAGCAGUAGGGAAUCUUUGGACAUAGACGGAAGUCUGACCGAGCCAAUCCGGGGGAGUGAAGAAGGGUUUCGGAUCGUAAAACUCUGUUGGUAGGGAAGAACGUUGGUGAGAGUGGAAAGCUCAUCAAGUGACGGUAACUACACAGAAAGGGACGGCUAACUACGUG
rnacentral:rRNA from 1 species